rnacentral:rRNA from 1 species
UUAAAAAGUAAAUAAAUUUAUUUGAGUAGUAUUAGUUAUAUUCUUGAAACUAAAAAAAUUUGGCGGUAUUUUAGUCUAUUCAGAGGAACUUGUUUUUUAAUCGAUAAUCCCCGAUGUACCUUACUUAAAAUUGUUAAUCAAUCUAUAUAUCGUUGUUAUUAGAGUAUUUUAUAAGAAUAAUAAUUUUCUGUAAUUUUUAUUAAAAUUAAUAUCAAAUCAAGGUGUAGUUUAUUUUUAAGAAUAGAUGAGUUACAAUAAAAUAUAUUUUUGAAUUUAAAUAUGAAAAAUUUAAUGAAAUUGGAUUUGAUAGUAAAAUUAUAAAGAUUAAUAAUUUGAUUUUAGCUCUAAAAUAUGU